AAGUUCCCACGGGGGCGUGGGGCGCCGAGCGAGGCGCUUGAAAGGCACAAGCAUUGGAGACCAGCUGCCUCCACGAUCAUGCCCCCCUGCUUUCCUGGUAGUUGCUGUCGUUGUACCAAAAAGUGCAUAAGGGGUGGACGUUACUUAACCAUCAUUUCGAUCCUGGGGACAUGGAGUCAUUGCUAACCAGGGCCGGUCACUGCUAGCCAAAACAAGACUUCAUAGGUGCAUAUCAGAGAGCAGGUUCGGCUUCCUGGCAGCGCCAUCGACCUCCCAUCGACUGACCAGAGUCU